rnacentral:rRNA from 1 species
AUUGAACGCUGGCGGCAGGCCUAACACAUGCAAGUCGAACGAGUGGCGGACGGGUGAGUAAUGUCUGGGAAACUGCCCGAUGGAGGGGGAUAACUACUGGAAACGGUAGCUAAUACCGCAUACCAUCGGAUGUGCCCAGAUGUGAUUAGCUUGUAGGGGAGGUAACGGCUCACCUAGGCGACGAUCCCUAGCUGGUCUGAGAGGAUGACAAGCCAAACUGUGAAGGAGACACGGUCCAGACUCCUACGGGAGGCAGCAGUGGGGAAGAUUGCACAAUGGGCGCAAGCCUGAUGUAGCCAUGCCGCGUGUGUGAAGAAGGCCUUCGGGUUGUAAAGUCCGUUCAGCGGGGAGGCGUUACCCGCAGAAGAAGCACCGGCUAACUCCGUGCCAGAAGCCGCGGUAAUAC